AUUGAACGCUGGCGGCAGGCCUAACACAUGCAAGUCGAACGAGUGGCGGACGGGUGAGUAAUGUCUGGGAAACUGCCUGAUGGAGGGGGAUAACUACUGGAAACGGUAGCUAAUACCGCAUACCAUCGGAUGUGCCCCGAUGGGAUUAGCUAGUAGGUGGGGUAAAGGCUCACCUAGGCGACGAUCCCUAGCUGGUCUGAGAGGAUGACCAGCCACACUGGAACUGAGACACGGUCCAGACUCCGAAGGGAGGCAGCGGUGGGGAAUAGUGCACAAGGGGCAGAAGCCUGAGGCAGCAAUGCCGCGUGUAUGAAGCAGGCCUUGGGGUUGUAAAGUACUUUCAGCGGGGAGGCGUUACCCGCAGAAGAAGCACCGGCUAACUCCGUGACAGCCGCCGCGGUAAUAC
rnacentral:rRNA from 1 species